CCACAACAGUCGCCGCAGCGAUCAUGGCAACUUCUUGCAAUUACGGUCGUACCAACCGUACUGGCAAGGAUACAGGGCCUAAAUUUAUACAGGUUUCGUCAUGAGGGCUACCCAGUGAAUAAUCUGUGCAGUGUGAUACGGCUGGGUGUACAGGUUACUUCACAGCUGCCUCGACAUACUCAAGAAAUGGGUGCAGAACCUGCGUAAUGCCCACAAACUUUGACUACCACAGCACCUCCAGGAAGUAAAGGCAUAUGUGUCACAUGGGAUUUUUAAAGGCAUUCACAGUAUAUAAUACCUUGUAUGAACUGUUGUAGGUCUAAGCAGCCUCUACAGUACACUCUCAGAAAUUAAAACUUGUCAGGGAACUGUGAUAAUUGUUUCAGUUAAUAGGUAUGCACAUACACGCUAUAAGAAGAAAAUUAUUUAUUGAGAAUGCACUUCUCUGGCUACUCAUGUUGUUUACAUCUACUGUUGAUCACAUUCAUUUAUCACAUAUUAUAUUCUUAUAUAUUAUUAUUAUAUUAUCACAUAUUCGAUCACAUUAAAUUUAAAAUUUAGCAUAUAUGAGAAAAUAUCACGAGGGAAGUCGCUAUUCAUUGCUCAUUCCAACCUAAAAUUGAGAGAGUGUACCUCACCAUUGUCAUUCCUAAAAUAUAUAUUGCCAUUGUAGCAAGGUCACAAAACAAUAAAUGAAGUCUUUUGCGAA